UUUCAUUAUUUAUACGUACGUUUAAAGAGCUUCAGUGUAAUUUCAUUCGAUUAUUAGAAUAUUGAAGGUGAUUUAAUAGUGGGAACGAAAAAUCCAAAUAUUUCUUAUAUUUACAAACUUUCUUUUCAAAUUUAGUUAUUUAGAAUUUAGAAUUAAUUGCAUCUUCUUAAUUAUUUAUUUUUCAUCUUCGCUAAUCAUAUUCUUUUAUAAAUCAAUCAGCAAAUAGCUGCAGACUAUUAUACGGCUGCAAAACAGACAUCAUUUCGAUAAUUCUUUUACACAAUAUUUAUUAUUGGAAGAAAUCAAUUCAAGUCGCUAUUCUUUUCUAUUUUUCUUAGUCGAGGAAUUAUAUCUAUAAUUUUUCACUUUUAUCAUGUAAGUGAAGUUCCAUCAAAAAAUACUUUAAGUUGUACAUAGAAAAAUAAAAAUGACACAAAAAAUUAAUAAAGAUAUAGUUUCCGUGGCUGUUUCGCAAUGAUAGAUAAAAUAUUUAAACAUGGGAUAAUACUUAGUACCAUAUCCAAAAGUCAAUUUACAUUCGAUUGUUCAAUUUCCAUUUUAUUUUUAAAGUUCACAUAUUUAGAUACAUAGAUCGCAUAUUAAAUAUAAUAUAUAUAAUCUUUCUUUUAAAAAGAAACAUUGUAUCUUGAGCAUUCGACGCAUAACUUGAUCAUUCACUGCUUCCGGAUCAUUCUUACGACAAUCACGACCCCCCGAAUUUGACGCUCGCCGAUAGGAACCUAGAGAUGCCGUGCCGUCUUCGUGGAUGUUCUUACCUAGACACAAUGCAUACCGAUCACGAAAUCCACGUGUAUGUCACGUAUUCCUGCGGCGCGAGUGACAAAGCCUCCGUGCCGUGUGCUGAUGUAUAAUACGCGAACUUCGAAUUUCCAUUCCCAUUGGCAUUCACGAAGCGUGAGGCUUCUCUGAAAAAUAUCCGUUCGCGGCCUGUCUGAGCACUGAAAACCUGUCGAAAGCGCGGAGUAUCAGUAUCUCCUUUACCGGACCAUCGAUCCGUGAAAAACACGGGGUGAACGACACGUCGAACGGGUUAUCGACGGCCCCCCGCGCGCCGGACUCUCGUUCCCCGUUAUUUUAACCCACCACGUCAGGGAAAAUCCGUCGCGUUUUACGGGCCACUUCCGAUUGUCCAACAAAGACACCGAACGAACUUUGUUUAAUGUCUGUCCAACUUUUGACAUCUUUAAGAUUGUUAAACUUUAUAAUAGCAAGGAUUUUUUAGUAUUAAAGAUACCAUUUCUAUGUUUUGCUAUCUAAAGAUUAUUGGAUUUUAUCGUUGUUGAAUUUUGUUGUUGUUAAUGGUUGCUGAAUUUUAAGAUCGGAGUAUCGGAAUAGUGGGAUGGAUAUGGUUUUAUAUAUUUUAUAUGUUUGGUUCUUUGAAAAAAGUAGUUUGGAUAGGAGGACUUAUACUAUACAUAUUUAUGAGUGAAUUUAUUUGGCAGUAUAUGCAUAAACAAUUUAUAAUAUACAAUUUUAUAAUACAUUAAAGACAAUAUAACUUGCAUAGAAUUAGUAUUUUAUUCAAUAUAUAGUAUGUUGGUGAAUAUGUCAUUUCUUUUUGAGAAUUUGUAUUAAAGUAAUACAUGAGAUUUUCUUCAGUUUAUUUCAAAUACGUAUAUGAAUAAGUCUAGUUUUUUUGGAACAUCCAAAAAAUAAAUUCAGAAAUCAACUAUUUCAUGAAAUAUAUAAAAAAGUAAAAAGGGACGAAAUUAUUAUUAAAAAUGCCAAUUAAAAAUUUUAACUCAUCUUAACCAGUGGGAAAAUUAAAUAUAAACUAUCCUAAUUACAGAACUCACUAUGCACACAUUAGCAGAAAAUCUAUUGAGUUUAGUUCCGAAAUCAAUAACCGCGUUGAUGUAUCGUCAGAAACUGCCACAUGAACUUCAUUUAAUAUUUAUUAAAUGAUGUACACUAUAAAAACAAUUUUAAAUAAAUCAAAUUGAAUUGUGUCCUGAAUAAAA